UACGUAGGGUGCGAGCGUUGUCCGGAAUUACUGGGCGUAAAGAGCUCGUAGGUGGUUUGUCGCGUUGUUUCGUGAAAACUCACAGCUCAACUGUGGGCGUGCGGGCGAUACGGGCAGACUGGAGUACUGCAGGGGAGACUGGAAUUCCUGGUGUAGCGGUGGAAUGCGCAGAUAUCAGGAGGAACACCGGUGGCGAAAGCGGGUCUCUGGGCAACAACUGACGCUGAGGAGCGAAAGCGUGGGGAGCGAACAGGA
rnacentral:rRNA from 1 species